rnacentral:rRNA from 1 species
CACGUAGGGUGCGAGCGUUGUCCGGAAUUACUGGGCGUAAAGCGCACGUAGGCGGCUUUGUAAGUAAGAGGUGAAAGCCCAGAGCUCAACUCUGGAAUUGCCUUUUAGACUGCAUCGCUUGAAUCAUGGAGAGGUCAGUGGAAUUCCGAGUGUAGAGGUGAAAUUCGUAGAUAUUCGGAAGAACACCAGUGGCGAAGGCGGCUGACUGGACAUGUAUUGACGCUGAGGUGCGAAAGCGUGGGGAGCAAACAGG